UACGUAGGGGGCAAGCGUUGUCCGGAUUUAUUGGGCGUAAAGAGCGUGUAGGCGGCCAGGUAGGUCCGUUGUGAAAACUCGAGGCUCAACCUCGAGACGUCGGUUGAAACCGUUUGGCUAGAGUCCGGAAGAGGAGAGUGGAAUUCCCGGUGUAGCGGUGAAAUGCGCAGAUAUCGGGAAGAACACCCGUGGCGAAGGCGGCUCUCUGGGACGGUACUGACGCUGAGACGCGAAAGCGUGGGGAGCGAACAGG
rnacentral:rRNA from 1 species